UUACACUCAAGUGAAAGUAGUCAAGGAUCCAACACCUGCCUUUCCAAGGUAUAUAUACAAACUCACAUCUUUUGAAAACAUUGAAGACAAUGAUCAUAGCAAAACCUAUUUGAUUGGUAGGAAAUGUUUUGGUAAAAAACUAUGCCAUCAUUUUCCUUGCAAAAUUCUGCGCUAUAUUUGACUCAAACAAAUCUGUUUUUUCAAACAAUACAGAUGUCAUUGGCGUCUUGACACAAAUUGAUCCGCUACAUCUAGUUGGUUUCAACAGCUCAAGCCUUACCAGAGACAUCUUCAUAACAAAUACAAGUGGUAUACCUUUAAAAAUGACGCUUUGGGGAGACCAAGCAUCUGAUUUUUUCUGUCGAUAAUGUUUACAAUGAGAACGAGAAGAAACUCCUAAUCAUAUUGUUCAUCGGAUGCCUUCCUAAACGAUCCAAAGGCCAAGUAUAUUUAUGCGGAAAUGUGGUAUGCGCAUGGUACUUCAAUCCAGACAUCCGUGAAAUACAUGUGUUCUACAACAGUUUGUAAAGGUUACCAACAGCUGAGUUCCAGCUACUACGACAUCCUGUCACAAAAGAGGAAAUCCAGGUUUCUCAACCCUCUGAAAUUGAAGACAAGAUUGUGGAAGAGCUACUUGAGAUAGAUCCAGAUAUGUUUCAUCCACAAGGUUACAAGUGCACUAUUACUGUUUCAUGUCUGCUACAAGACAAUAGAUGGUGGUUUCCAUCUUGCACCAAAUGCAAGAGGUCUCCAACUCAGACCUCUACUAGAUACCGAUGCACAACGUGCGACUAGACAAACUAGAUUUAGGUACAAACUCAGAUUAUUGCUACUGAUGGAACUUCUAAAGCAGAAUUCUUUUGUUUUGAUAAUAUAGCCAGAUGAAUAGUAGGAAAGUGCUAUGAAACCCUUGUCAGAAUAGCAGAUGAUUCUCGUGGUCCUCCAGCGGACCUGGCUGCCAUUGUGUCGUUUAAGUUUACCUUUGCAGUUACCAUUAACAUGUCGGCAUUCUCUGUCACCAACAAUCUUUUAUGUUCUCUCUGGACUAACAAAUCAUGGGAGACAUGCAUCACUAACAAUUUUUUUGAAAGCAAAUGGCAGAGCUCGCCUUUCAAUUAAGAGAGAAAAGAGUUACAGAACAAGGAUCACACAUCACACACACCAGGAGCACACCUCCUGCCUAAGAAGAACUGCUCACACAUAACGAUGUAUUUGGUUGUACAAGCAUACAAGACUCUCCAGCAGCAUCUUUUGGCAAACUAUCCAUAUCUACCAAUCAAAAAAUGUGGGUACAAGUCAGCUUAACAAAGACGGUCUGCCAUCGCCACCAAAAGAUCAGAACCAGCCAACUUCGCAUACACCAGCCUGAUUCUACACAACCUGGAGAUCAAAGCCACUAGAUCGUCAUGAAUUGCAAGAUAACUGUUUUGCGCACCUACAAAGGACGUCCAUGCUGCUGAAACGCAUAUACUUUUAUGUACAUAUAACGAAACUGCUACAGCGUCUCCAGCUUUGUAUAUGUUUAUGUGAACCCUAUCAGUGAACUCUAAUUUACGCUUGAUGUAGUCUACUCAAGUGCUACUUUAUGUGUAUUAUUGUCUCAGUUACUCUACAACUAUUGUAAGCCUUGGCGUCUGCUUCA